CAGCCGCCGCGGUAAUACGGAGGGUGCGAGCGUUAAUCGGAAUUACUGGGCGUAAAGGGUGCGUAGGCGGUUAAUUAUGUCAGAUGUGAAAUCCAGUGGCUCAACCACUGAACUGCAUUUGAAACUGAUUAACUAGAAUAUGAUAGAGGGAAGUGGAAUUUCUAGUGUAGCGGUGAAAUGCGUAGAUAUUAGAAGGAACACCAGAGGCGAAGGCGGCUUCCUGGAUCAUUAUUGACGCUGAGGCACGAAAGCGUGGGGAGCAAACAGGAUUAGAUA
rnacentral:rRNA from 1 species